rnacentral:tRNA from 1 species
UCCUCAGUAGCUCAAUCGGCAGAGCGGUCGGCUGUUAACUGAUAGGUUGUAGGUUCGAGUCCUACCUGAGGAG